UGAGUGAGAGUCGGUGGUUGUAUGAUGGCUGAGAGCUGGUGUCUGAGAGAUGGUAUGGGGUAUGAUGGAAGGGUGCCAAUGAUUAUAUAUGUAAUGUUGAUAUGUACGCUUGAUAGGGAUGAUGGUGGAUCGACUAUAGUGCUGAGAGCCUUGCUUGUAUGCAUUAUAUUUAUGAUAGAAUAUGUGGUAUACUUGAAAACUCACUAAGCAUUAUGCUUAUGUUGUUAAGUUAAAUAUUUUUAAGGUUGUUCAAGGGAAGAACGCGAUGUGAUUGUACAUUCGCAUCGAAGAUUUGUUGUUUUUGACUUCCGCUGGUUUAAUAAAUAAACUAUGUUUAAGCUUAUAUUUCCAAAAUAAAAGGAUAAUAUAAUAUGUUUUUAGGAAUAUACUUAAACGUUAAUCGGAUUUUAAAUGAAAAUUUUGGUUUAAAAUUUGAGACGUUGCACUUCUGCUACAACUACAAGCGUUUUUAAAAACCCAACAUAAAAUUUAAGAAAAAUAUGUCGAUUCUAAUUUUAGUUUAAUUUUUAUUUUUAAAGUAAGUGUUUCUAAUGUAAUUUUUUUGAAAGAGGUUUCUAAUGUAAUUUUGAGUUUUAGAGUAAGGUAGUUUUAAUUUUAUGUAUUUAUUUUUAUUAAGGUAAUGUUUAUUUGAUUAUUUACUGAAAAAAUUAUUUUGCUUAGAAUAUAUUGUGUUUUUUUAAAUGUUGUAUUAAAAUAAAUAAAAGAUAAAAAUAUAUAAAUAUAUGGAGUGGUGGACUGGUUGUUAUUUCAUAAUUUAGUAAGUUUAGUAGGGAUAUAAUAAUGAUGUAACGAAGAUGAUAUUGCAAUGAUAUUUUAGAACUUCUUUUUUUUGAACAAUACUCUAUAGCCUUAUUUCUACAAACAUUUUGAAAACAUCUAUAUUCUACAACCUUUUUUUCAAAUGCAUCUGUUUUUAAAUAAGAUAAGGUGAUUUUAUAUUAAUAGCAAGGGUACCCUUAUACUUAAUGGCAACAUUGAGCGUUGAUAACGAUGAACAAAAUUUAGGUGAUCUUCAUGCAUUAGGAAUUUUACACGUUUAUUUAGAAAAUCCAUUUUUAAAUGUCGUUGACUUUUGGAAGUUCACUCAUCGUAUUUAUAUGUAUGGUAUGGAGACACAGAAGGGCAUGGGUCAUUAUAAUAGCAUUAAAUAGAUAUUUUGGAAAUCAUUCUUUCUCGGAUAUAGAUUAAAUUUAUCUGAUUCGAGAAGUCAAAGCCGAUCGAUGCAGAGAUCACUGAGAGUACUUAGACCAAUUGUGGUGCAUGGAACGACAGUAUCACGACGGAAAAUAGCUGCUGCUUCCUUCUCAACCUCUUUGUUAUUCGAUGAAACACAAAUAAGGCCUGUUGCAAUCAUGACUGCAGUUCAAAGAAGGUGUUCAACAAUUUGCCCAAGAGAAGAUAGCUCCUCAUGCAGACAAAAUCGACAAGACGGAUUCUUUCCCGGAGGUUCUUAGAAAAAAAUGAUGCAUUUUUCUAUAUAUGUUUCAUAAAUACUUAUAAUAUGUUGAGUAUCAAUCAGAUCCGUUUGAUGGUGCGGAAUCCCAAUCAAACGGAUGAUGCUAGAUCAAAAUAGAAGAGAAUGAGAAGAAGAAGAUGAUGAAUCUUGUAUGUAUUUAUAUGAAUGAAAAUCCGGAUACAAGAUUCACACACAUUCUUUUUUUUCUCUCUUUAGAACACCUUCAAAUGCACUCACUUAAGCUCCUAUAUUCUAUUCUCACGUUCAUCUAUCUCUCCUUACCCACCUAACAUCUAUUUAUCUGUAAAUGGGGAUCAUGGGCCGUAAUGAUUUUACGGUCGUAAAUGGGUUUACGGCCAUAAACACCCACCUAGCCGUAAACACAUAAAAUAUUACAUAAAAAUACAAUUGCACAGAAAAUCAAAGUAUAAACCAUAGUUUUGACCAAAUAAUAUUUCCCUUGUUGGGUAUCUGAUUGUUUGAUUGUAUGAUACUUUUAUGUGUCAUGUCUAGUUGGAGUAUUGUUAGUGUUGGUUGAUUAUUGAAAGAAUGUCCUAGGGGCUGUAUGUAGUUUAAUUUAUAUAACCUUAGAACUCUUAAUCCAACCUUAUUGUUUAUUCUUGUUUGAUAAAUGCCUUAGGGAAGGAACACAUGUUCGACCGACUAUCUUAUUUUCUAACUACGCAUGACUAUACAUUGGCGAUCCUUCAAUAUUAACAGUAACUUAUGUAUAAUUGUGGGAUGAGUGAGAGUCGGUGGUUGUAUGAUGGCUGAGAGCUGGUGUCUGAGAGAUGGUAUGGGGUAUGAUGGAAGGGUGCCAAUGAUUAUAUAUGUAAUGUUGAUAUGUACGCUUGAUAGGGAUGAUGGUGGAUCGACUAUAGUGCUGAGAGCCUUGCUUGUAUGCAUUAUAUUUAUGAUAGAAUAUGUGGUAUACUUGAAAACUCACUAAGCAUUAUGCUUAUGUUGUUAAGUUAAAUAUUUUUAAGGUUGUUCAAGGGAAGAACGCGAUGUGAUUGUACAUUCGCAUCGAAGAUUUGUUGUUUUUGACUUCCGCUGGUUUAAUAAAUAAACUAUGUUUAAGCUUAUAUUUCCAAAAUAAAAGGAUAAUAUAAUAUGUUUUUAGGAAUAUACUUAAACGUUAAUCGGAUUUUAAAUGAAAAUUUUGGUUUAAAAUUUGAGACGUUGCACUUCUGCUACAACUACAAGCGUUUUUAAAAACCCAACAUAAAAUUUAAGAAAAAUAUGUCGAUUCUAAUUUUAGUUUAAUUUUUAUUUUUAAAGUAAGUGUUUCUAAUGUAAUUUUUUUGAAAGAGGUUUCUAAUGUAAUUUUGAGUUUUAGAGUAAGGUAGUUUUAAUUUUAUGUAUUUAUUUUUAUUAAGGUAAUGUUUAUUUGAUUAUUUACUGAAAAAAUUAUUUUGCUUAGAAUAUAUUGUGUUUUUUUAAAUGUUGUAUUAAAAUAAAUAAAAGAUAAAAAUAUAUAAAUAUAUGGAGUGGUGGACUGGUUGUUAUUUCAUAAUUUAGUAAGUUUAGUAGGGAUAUAAUAAUGAUGUAACGAAGAUGAUAUUGCAAUGAUAUUUUAGAACUUCUUUUUUUUGAACAAUACUCUAUAGCCUUAUUUCUACAAACAUUUUGAAAACAUCUAUAUUCUACAACCUUUUUUUCAAAUGCAUCUGUUUUUAAAUAAGAUAAGGUGAUUUUAUAUUAAUAGCAAGGGUACCCUUAUACUUAAUGGCAACAUUGAGCGUUGAUAACGAUGAACAAAAUUUAGGUGAUCUUCAUGCAUUAGGAAUUUUACACGUUUAUUUAGAAAAUCCAUUUUUAAAUGUCGUUGACUUUUGGAAGUUCACUCAUCGUAUUUAUAUGUAUGGUAUGGAGACACAGAAGGGCAUGGGUCAUUAUAAUAGCAUUAAAUAGAUAUUUUGGAAAUCAUUCUUUCUCGGAUAUAGAUUAAAUUUAUCUGAUUCGAGAAGUCAAAGCCGAUCGAUGCAGAGAUCACUGAGAGUACUUAGACCAAUUGUGGUGCAUGGAACGACAGUAUCACGACGGAAAAUAGCUGCUGCUUCCUUCUCAACCUCUUUGUUAUUCGAUGAAACACAAAUAAGGGUAUAUAUAUUAUUCUUUCUUUUGUUUGUGAGUUAUAAAAUGGACGACUGUGAUUAUUCUUGUAUUUAUGUAUAAGUAACCUCUAAGUCUAAGACGAUAGAUUGAUGAGUUUUACUACAGCCUGUUGCAAUCAUGACUGCAGUUCAAAGAAGGUGUUCAACAAUUUGCCCAAGAGAAGAUAGCUCCUCAUGCAGACAAAAUCGACAAGACGGAUUCUUUCCCGGAGGUUCUUAGAAAAAAAUGAUGCAUUUUUCUAUAUAUGUUUCAUAAAUACUUAUAAUAUGUUGAGUAUCAAUCAGAUCCGUUUGAUGGUGCGGAAUCCCAAUCAAACGGAUGAUGCUAGAUCAAAAUAGAAGAGAAUGAGAAGAAGAAGAUGAUGAAUCUUGUAUGUAUUUAUAUGAAUGAAAAUCCGGAUACAAGAUUCACACACAUUCUUUUUUUUCUCUCUUUAGAACACCUUCAAAUGCACUCACUUAAGCUCCUAUAUUCUAUUCUCACGUUCAUCUAUCUCUCCUUACCCACCUAACAUCUAUUUAUCUGUAAAUGGGGAUCAUGGGCCGUAAUGAUUUUACGGUCGUAAAUGGGUUUACGGCCAUAAACACCCACCUAGCCGUAAACACAUAAAAUAUUACAUAAAAAUACAAUUGCACAGAAAAUCAAAGUAUAAACCAUAGUUUUGACCAAAUAAUAUUUCCCUUGUUGGGUAUCUGAUUGUUUGAUUGUAUGAUACUUUUAUGUGUCAUGUCUAGUUGGAGUAUUGUUAGUGUUGGUUGAUUAUUGAAAGAAUGUCCUAGGGGCUGUAUGUAGUUUAAUUUAUAUAACCUUAGAACUCUUAAUCCAACCUUAUUGUUUAUUCUUGUUUGAUAAAUGCCUUAGGGAAGGAACACAUGUUCGACCGACUAUCUUAUUUUCUAACUACGCAUGACUAUACAUUGGCGAUCCUUCAAUAUUAACAGUAACUUAUGUAUAAUUGUGGGAUGAGUGAGAGUCGGUGGUUGUAUGAUGGCUGAGAGCUGGUGUCUGAGAGAUGGUAUGGGGUAUGAUGGAAGGGUGCCAAUGAUUAUAUAUGUAAUGUUGAUAUGUACGCUUGAUAGGGAUGAUGGUGGAUCGACUAUAGUGCUGAGAGCCUUGCUUGUAUGCAUUAUAUUUAUGAUAGAAUAUGUGGUAUACUUGAAAACUCACUAAGCAUUAUGCUUAUGUUGUUAAGUUAAAUAUUUUUAAGGUUGUUCAAGGGAAGAACGCGAUGUGAUUGUACAUUCGCAUCGAAGAUUUGUUGUUUUUGACUUCCGCUGGUUUAAUAAAUAAACUAUGUUUAAGCUUAUAUUUCCAAAAUAAAAGGAUAAUAUAAUAUGUUUUUAGGAAUAUACUUAAACGUUAAUCGGAUUUUAAAUGAAAAUUUUGGUUUAAAAUUUGAGACGUUGCACUUCUGCUACAACUACAAGCGUUUUUAAAAACCCAACAUAAAAUUUAAGAAAAAUAUGUCGAUUCUAAUUUUAGUUUAAUUUUUAUUUUUAAAGUAAGUGUUUCUAAUGUAAUUUUUUUGAAAGAGGUUUCUAAUGUAAUUUUGAGUUUUAGAGUAAGGUAGUUUUAAUUUUAUGUAUUUAUUUUUAUUAAGGUAAUGUUUAUUUGAUUAUUUACUGAAAAAAUUAUUUUGCUUAGAAUAUAUUGUGUUUUUUUAAAUGUUGUAUUAAAAUAAAUAAAAGAUAAAAAUAUAUAAAUAUAUGGAGUGGUGGACUGGUUGUUAUUUCAUAAUUUAGUAAGUUUAGUAGGGAUAUAAUAAUGAUGUAACGAAGAUGAUAUUGCAAUGAUAUUUUAGAACUUCUUUUUUUUGAACAAUACUCUAUAGCCUUAUUUCUACAAACAUUUUGAAAACAUCUAUAUUCUACAACCUUUUUUUCAAAUGCAUCUGUUUUUAAAUAAGAUAAGGUGAUUUUAUAUUAAUAGCAAGGGUACCCUUAUACUUAAUGGCAACAUUGAGCGUUGAUAACGAUGAACAAAAUUUAGGUGAUCUUCAUGCAUUAGGAAUUUUACACGUUUAUUUAGAAAAUCCAUUUUUAAAUGUCGUUGACUUUUGGAAGUUCACUCAUCGUAUUUAUAUGUAUGGUAUGGAGACACAGAAGGGCAUGGGUCAUUAUAAUAGCAUUAAAUAGAUAUUUUGGAAAUCAUUCUUUCUCGGAUAUAGAUUAAAUUUAUCUGAUUCGAGAAGUCAAAGCCGAUCGAUGCAGAGAUCACUGAGAGUACUUAGACCAAUUGUGGUGCAUGGAACGACAGUAUCACGACGGAAAAUAGCUGCUGCUUCCUUCUCAACCUCUUUGUUAUUCGAUGAAACACAAAUAAGGGUAUAUAUAUUAUUCUUUCUUUUGUUUGUGAGUUAUAAAAUGGACGACUGUGAUUAUUCUUGUAUUUAUGUAUAAGUAACCUCUAAGUCUAAGACGAUAGAUUGAUGAGUUUUACUACAGCCUGUUGCAAUCAUGACUGCAGUUCAAAGAAGGUGUUCAACAAUUUGCCCAAGAGAAGAUAGCUCCUCAUGCAGACAAAAUCGACAAGACGGAUUCUUUCCCGGAGGUUCUUAGAAAAAAAUGAUGCAUUUUUCUAUAUAUGUUUCAUAAAUACUUAUAAUAUGUUGAGUAUCAAUCAGAUCCGUUUGAUGGUGCGGAAUCCCAAUCAAACGGAUGAUGCUAGAUCAAAAUAGAAGAGAAUGAGAAGAAGAAGAUGAUGAAUCUUGUAUGUAUUUAUAUGAAUGAAAAUCCGGAUACAAGAUUCACACACAUUCUUUUUUUUCUCUCUUUAGAACACCUUCAAAUGCACUCACUUAAGCUCCUAUAUUCUAUUCUCACGUUCAUCUAUCUCUCCUUACCCACCUAACAUCUAUUUAUCUGUAAAUGGGGAUCAUGGGCCGUAAUGAUUUUACGGUCGUAAAUGGGUUUACGGCCAUAAACACCCACCUAGCCGUAAACACAUAAAAUAUUACAUAAAAAUACAAUUGCACAGAAAAUCAAAGUAUAAACCAUAGUUUUGACCAAAUAAUAUUUCCCUUGUUGGGUAUCUGAUUGUUUGAUUGUAUGAUACUUUUAUGUGUCAUGUCUAGUUGGAGUAUUGUUAGUGUUGGUUGAUUAUUGAAAGAAUGUCCUAGGGGCUGUAUGUAGUUUAAUUUAUAUAACCUUAGAACUCUUAAUCCAACCUUAUUGUUUAUUCUUGUUUGAUAAAUGCCUUAGGGAAGGAACACAUGUUCGACCGACUAUCUUAUUUUCUAACUACGCAUGACUAUACAUUGGCGAUCCUUCAAUAUUAACAGUAACUUAUGUAUAAUUGUGGGAUGAGUGAGAGUCGGUGGUUGUAUGAUGGCUGAGAGCUGGUGUCUGAGAGAUGGUAUGGGGUAUGAUGGAAGGGUGCCAAUGAUUAUAUAUGUAAUGUUGAUAUGUACGCUUGAUAGGGAUGAUGGUGGAUCGACUAUAGUGCUGAGAGCCUUGCUUGUAUGCAUUAUAUUUAUGAUAGAAUAUGUGGUAUACUUGAAAACUCACUAAGCAUUAUGCUUAUGUUGUUAAGUUAAAUAUUUUUAAGGUUGUUCAAGGGAAGAACGCGAUGUGAUUGUACAUUCGCAUCGAAGAUUUGUUGUUUUUGACUUCCGCUGGUUUAAUAAAUAAACUAUGUUUAAGCUUAUAUUUCCAAAAUAAAAGGAUAAUAUAAUAUGUUUUUAGGAAUAUACUUAAACGUUAAUCGGAUUUUAAAUGAAAAUUUUGGUUUAAAAUUUGAGACGUUGCACUUCUGCUACAACUACAAGCGUUUUUAAAAACCCAACAUAAAAUUUAAGAAAAAUAUGUCGAUUCUAAUUUUAGUUUAAUUUUUAUUUUUAAAGUAAGUGUUUCUAAUGUAAUUUUUUUGAAAGAGGUUUCUAAUGUAAUUUUGAGUUUUAGAGUAAGGUAGUUUUAAUUUUAUGUAUUUAUUUUUAUUAAGGUAAUGUUUAUUUGAUUAUUUACUGAAAAAAUUAUUUUGCUUAGAAUAUAUUGUGUUUUUUUAAAUGUUGUAUUAAAAUAAAUAAAAGAUAAAAAUAUAUAAAUAUAUGGAGUGGUGGACUGGUUGUUAUUUCAUAAUUUAGUAAGUUUAGUAGGGAUAUAAUAAUGAUGUAACGAAGAUGAUAUUGCAAUGAUAUUUUAGAACUUCUUUUUUUUGAACAAUACUCUAUAGCCUUAUUUCUACAAACAUUUUGAAAACAUCUAUAUUCUACAACCUUUUUUUCAAAUGCAUCUGUUUUUAAAUAAGAUAAGGUGAUUUUAUAUUAAUAGCAAGGGUACCCUUAUACUUAAUGGCAACAUUGAGCGUUGAUAACGAUGAACAAAAUUUAGGUGAUCUUCAUGCAUUAGGAAUUUUACACGUUUAUUUAGAAAAUCCAUUUUUAAAUGUCGUUGACUUUUGGAAGUUCACUCAUCGUAUUUAUAUGUAUGGUAUGGAGACACAGAAGGGCAUGGGUCAUUAUAAUAGCAUUAAAUAGAUAUUUUGGAAAUCAUUCUUUCUCGGAUAUAGAUUAAAUUUAUCUGAUUCGAGAAGUCAAAGCCGAUCGAUGCAGAGAUCACUGAGAGUACUUAGACCAAUUGUGGUGCAUGGAACGACAGUAUCACGACGGAAAAUAGCUGCUGCUUCCUUCUCAACCUCUUUGUUAUUCGAUGAAACACAAAUAAGGGUAUAUAUAUUAUUCUUUCUUUUGUUUGUGAGUUAUAAAAUGGACGACUGUGAUUAUUCUUGUAUUUAUGUAUAAGUAACCUCUAAGUCUAAGACGAUAGAUUGAUGAGUUUUACUACAGCCUGUUGCAAUCAUGACUGCAGUUCAAAGAAGGUGUUCAACAAUUUGCCCAAGAGAAGAUAGCUCCUCAUGCAGACAAAAUCGACAAGACGGAUUCUUUCCCGGAGGUUCUUAGAAAAAAAUGAUGCAUUUUUCUAUAUAUGUUUCAUAAAUACUUAUAAUAUGUUGAGUAUCAAUCAGAUCCGUUUGAUGGUGCGGAAUCCCAAUCAAACGGAUGAUGCUAGAUCAAAAUAGAAGAGAAUGAGAAGAAGAAGAUGAUGAAUCUUGUAUGUAUUUAUAUGAAUGAAAAUCCGGAUACAAGAUUCACACACAUUCUUUUUUUUCUCUCUUUAGAACACCUUCAAAUGCACUCACUUAAGCUCCUAUAUUCUAUUCUCACGUUCAUCUAUCUCUCCUUACCCACCUAACAUCUAUUUAUCUGUAAAUGGGGAUCAUGGGCCGUAAUGAUUUUACGGUCGUAAAUGGGUUUACGGCCAUAAACACCCACCUAGCCGUAAACACAUAAAAUAUUACAUAAAAAUACAAUUGCACAGAAAAUCAAAGUAUAAACCAUAGUUUUGACCAAAUAAUAUUUCCCUUGUUGGGUAUCUGAUUGUUUGAUUGUAUGAUACUUUUAUGUGUCAUGUCUAGUUGGAGUAUUGUUAGUGUUGGUUGAUUAUUGAAAGAAUGUCCUAGGGGCUGUAUGUAGUUUAAUUUAUAUAACCUUAGAACUCUUAAUCCAACCUUAUUGUUUAUUCUUGUUUGAUAAAUGCCUUAGGGAAGGAACACAUGUUCGACUGACUAUCUUAUUUUCUAACUACGCAUGACUAUACAUUGGCGAUCCUUCAAUAUUAACAGUAACUUAUGUAUAAUUGUGGGAUGAGUGAGAGUCGGUGGUUGUAUGAUGGCUGAGAGCUGGUGUCUGAGAGAUGGUAUGGGGUAUGAUGGAAGGGUGCCAAUGAUUAUAUAUGUAAUGUUGAUAUGUACGCUUGAUAGGGAUGAUGGUGGAUCGACUAUAGUGCUGAGAGCCUUGCUUGUAUGCAUUAUAUUUAUGAUAGAAUAUGUGGUAUACUUGAAAACUCACUAAGCAUUAUGCUUAUGUUGUUAAGUUAAAUAUUUUUAAGGUUGUUCAAGGGAAGAACGCGAUGUGAUUGUACAUUCGCAUCGAAGAUUUGUUGUUUUUGACUUCCGCUGGUUUAAUAAAUAAACUAUGUUUAAGCUUAUAUUUCCAAAAUAAAAGGAUAAUAUAAUAUGUUUUUAGGAAUAUACUUAAACGUUAAUCGGAUUUUAAAUGAAAAUUUUGGUUUAAAAUUUGAGACGUUGCACUUCUGCUACAACUACAAGCGUUUUUAAAAACCCAACAUAAAAUUUAAGAAAAAUAUGUCGAUUCUAAUUUUAGUUUAAUUUUUAUUUUUAAAGUAAGUGUUUCUAAUGUAAUUUUUUUGAAAGAGGUUUCUAAUGUAAUUUUGAGUUUUAGAGUAAGGUAGUUUUAAUUUUAUGUAUUUAUUUUUAUUAAGGUAAUGUUUAUUUGAUUAUUUACUGAAAAAAUUAUUUUGCUUAGAAUAUAUUGUGUUUUUUUAAAUGUUGUAUUAAAAUAAAUAAAAGAUAAAAAUAUAUAAAUAUAUGGAGUGGUGGACUGGUUGUUAUUUCAUAAUUUAGUAAGUUUAGUAGGGAUAUAAUAAUGAUGUAACGAAGAUGAUAUUGCAAUGAUAUUUUAGAACUUCUUUUUUUUGAACAAUACUCUAUAGCCUUAUUUCUACAAACAUUUUGAAAACAUCUAUAUUCUACAACCUUUUUUUCAAAUGCAUCUGUUUUUAAAUAAGAUAAGGUGAUUUUAUAUUAAUAGCAAGGGUACCCUUAUACUUAAUGGCAACAUUGAGCGUUGAUAACGAUGAACAAAAUUUAGGUGAUCUUCAUGCAUUAGGAAUUUUACACGUUUAUUUAGAAAAUCCAUUUUUAAAUGUCGUUGACUUUUGGAAGUUCACUCAUCGUAUUUAUAUGUAUGGUAUGGAGACACAGAAGGGCAUGGGUCAUUAUAAUAGCAUUAAAUAGAUAUUUUGGAAAUCAUUCUUUCUCGGAUAUAGAUUAAAUUUAUCUGAUUCGAGAAGUCAAAGCCGAUCGAUGCAGAGAUCACUGAGAGUACUUAGACCAAUUGUGGUGCAUGGAACGACAGUAUCACGACGGAAAAUAGCUGCUGCUUCCUUCUCAACCUCUUUGUUAUUCGAUGAAACACAAAUAAGGGUAUAUAUAUUAUUCUUUCUUUUGUUUGUGAGUUAUAAAAUGGACGACUGUGAUUAUUCUUGUAUUUAUGUAUAAGUAACCUCUAAGUCUAAGACGAUAGAUUGAUGAGUUUUACUACAGCCUGUUGCAAUCAUGACUGCAGUUCAAAGAAGGUGUUCAACAAUUUGCCCAAGAGAAGAUAGCUCCUCAUGCAGACAAAAUCGACAAGACGGAUUCUUUCCCGGAGGUUCUUAGAAAAAAAUGAUGCAUUUUUCUAUAUAUGUUUCAUAAAUACUUAUAAUAUGUUGAGUAUCAAUCAGAUCCGUUUGAUGGUGCGGAAUCCCAAUCAAACGGAUGAUGCUAGAUCAAAAUAGAAGAGAAUGAGAAGAAGAAGAUGAUGAAUCUUGUAUGUAUUUAUAUGAAUGAAAAUCCGGAUACAAGAUUCACACACAUUCUUUUUUUUCUCUCUUUAGAACACCUUCAAAUGCACUCACUUAAGCUCCUAUAUUCUAUUCUCACGUUCAUCUAUCUCUCCUUACCCACCUAACAUCUAUUUAUCUGUAAAUGGGGAUCAUGGGCCGUAAUGAUUUUACGGUCGUAAAUGGGUUUACGGCCAUAAACACCCACCUAGCCGUAAACACAUAAAAUAUUACAUAAAAAUACAAUUGCACAGAAAAUCAAAGUAUAAACCAUAGUUUUGACCAAAUAAUAUUUCCCUUGUUGGGUAUCUGAUUGUUUGAUUGUAUGAUACUUUUAUGUGUCAUGUCUAGUUGGAGUAUUGUUAGUGUUGGUUGAUUAUUGAAAGAAUGUCCUAGGGGCUGUAUGUAGUUUAAUUUAUAUAACCUUAGAACUCUUAAUCCAACCUUAUUGUUUAUUCUUGUUUGAUAAAUGCCUUAGGGAAGGAACACAUGUUCGACCGACUAUCUUAUUUUCUAACUACGCAUGACUAUACAUUGGCGAUCCUUCAAUAUUAACAGUAACUUAUGUAUAAUUGUGGGAUGAGUGAGAGUCGGUGGUUGUAUGAUGGCUGAGAGCUGGUGUCUGAGAGAUGGUAUGGGGUAUGAUGGAAGGGUGCCAAUGAUUAUAUAUGUAAUGUUGAUAUGUACGCUUGAUAGGGAUGAUGGUGGAUCGACUAUAGUGCUGAGAGCCUUGCUUGUAUGCAUUAUAUUUAUGAUAGAAUAUGUGGUAUACUUGAAAACUCACUAAGCAUUAUGCUUAUGUUGUUAAGUUAAAUAUUUUUAAGGUUGUUCAAGGGAAGAACGCGAUGUGAUUGUACAUUCGCAUCGAAGAUUUGUUGUUUUUGACUUCCGCUGGUUUAAUAAAUAAACUAUGUUUAAGCUUAUAUUUCCAAAAUAAAAGGAUAAUAUAAUAUGUUUUUAGGAAUAUACUUAAACGUUAAUCGGAUUUUAAAUGAAAAUUUUGGUUUAAAAUUUGAGACGUUGCACUUCUGCUACAACUACAAGCGUUUUUAAAAACCCAACAUAAAAUUUAAGAAAAAUAUGUCGAUUCUAAUUUUAGUUUAAUUUUUAUUUUUAAAGUAAGUGUUUCUAAUGUAAUUUUUUUGAAAGAGGUUUCUAAUGUAAUUUUGAGUUUUAGAGUAAGGUAGUUUUAAUUUUAUGUAUUUAUUUUUAUUAAGGUAAUGUUUAUUUGAUUAUUUACUGAAAAAAUUAUUUUGCUUAGAAUAUAUUGUGUUUUUUUAAAUGUUGUAUUAAAAUAAAUAAAAGAUAAAAAUAUAUAAAUAUAUGGAGUGGUGGACUGGUUGUUAUUUCAUAAUUUAGUAAGUUUAGUAGGGAUAUAAUAAUGAUGUAACGAAGAUGAUAUUGCAAUGAUAUUUUAGAACUUCUUUUUUUUGAACAAUACUCUAUAGCCUUAUUUCUACAAACAUUUUGAAAACAUCUAUAUUCUACAACCUUUUUUUCAAAUGCAUCUGUUUUUAAAUAAGAUAAGGUGAUUUUAUAUUAAUAGCAAGGGUACCCUUAUACUUAAUGGCAACAUUGAGCGUUGAUAACGAUGAACAAAAUUUAGGUGAUCUUCAUGCAUUAGGAAUUUUACACGUUUAUUUAGAAAAUCCAUUUUUAAAUGUCGUUGACUUUUGGAAGUUCACUCAUCGUAUUUAUAUGUAUGGUAUGGAGACACAGAAGGGCAUGGGUCAUUAUAAUAGCAUUAAAUAGAUAUUUUGGAAAUCAUUCUUUCUCGGAUAUAGAUUAAAUUUAUCUGAUUCGAGAAGUCAAAGCCGAUCGAUGCAGAGAUCACUGAGAGUACUUAGACCAAUUGUGGUGCAUGGAACGACAGUAUCACGACGGAAAAUAGCUGCUGCUUCCUUCUCAACCUCUUUGUUAUUCGAUGAAACACAAAUAAGGGUAUAUAUAUUAUUCUUUCUUUUGUUUGUGAGUUAUAAAAUGGACGACUGUGAUUAUUCUUGUAUUUAUGUAUAAGUAACCUCUAAGUCUAAGACGAUAGAUUGAUGAGUUUUACUACAGCCUGUUGCAAUCAUGACUGCAGUUCAAAGAAGGUGUUCAACAAUUUGCCCAAGAGAAGAUAGCUCCUCAUGCAGACAAAAUCGACAAGACGGAUUCUUUCCCGGAGGUUCUUAGAAAAAAAUGAUGCAUUUUUCUAUAUAUGUUUCAUAAAUACUUAUAAUAUGUUGAGUAUCAAUCAGAUCCGUUUGAUGGUGCGGAAUCCCAAUCAAACGGAUGAUGCUAGAUCAAAAUAGAAGAGAAUGAGAAGAAGAAGAUGAUGAAUCUUGUAUGUAUUUAUAUGAAUGAAAAUCCGGAUACAAGAUUCACACA